rnacentral:rRNA from 1 species
AUUGGAGUCUAAAAGGCCGCGGUAUUAUGACCGUGCUAAGGUAGCAUAAUCAUUAGUCUUUUAAUUGAAGGCUGGAAUGAAUGGUUGGACAAGAAAUAAGCUGUCUUAAAUAAAAAUAUUGAACUUAACUUUUAAGUGAAAAGGCUUAAAUUUUCUAAAGGGACGAUAAGACCCUAUAAAACUUUAUAUUUAAAAAUAAUUGCUAUUAUUAUUUAAAGAGUUUAUUUUUUAAAUAUUUUAUUGGGGUGAUAAGGAUAAAAUAUAAGACAACUGUCUUUUAUUUUAACAAUAAUUUUUGAGUAAAUGAUCUUAAUAAAGGAAUAAAAGAUUAAGUUACUUUAGGGAUAACAGCGUAAUUUUCUUUGAGAGUUCUUAUCGACAAGAAAGUUUGCGACCUCGAUGUUGAAUUAAAAGUUCUUUAUAGAGUAGAGACUAUAUUAGAAGGUCUGUUCGACCUUUAAAAUUUUACAUGAUUU